AUGACUCACGAGCCACCCCAAACUCGCCACAAAGUCGAUCGCAUGGAAUCCGCGAGACAGCAGGAAACUGUCUUGUAUCCAUCUAUUCCCGGGGUACUUGAACAUCUUCUUGAAGAUCCAACGGUGAAAAUGUUGUGGCAGAGAGUCUACUCCAAGCCUGUAAAAUUUGAGGGAAAUCAAAUGAUGCAAACUCCCGUGUCGUCCAAUCUACAGAGACCAUGUGCAGGCAUGAUUCUCUGCGAUGUCAAACCUUCGCCAAUCUCCGUCACCAAGGUCAUCUCCGAGCCGCUAUCCCUGAGGAGGGAAUCUGUCCAGAUUUGGUUUUGCGAGCAGCCCAGCGAUCGACUCGGAUUCCCUCCUUGGGAACCUGUCCAGAUUUGGUUUUGCGAGCAGCCCAGCGAUCCUCCCAGGGAAUCUUGCCUGAACAGGGUCUUGGUAGAUUGGAUAGCACAAGAGUUUUCACCAUUGGAUCGCCCUCAAAUUUUACAGCAACAAUUUCACCGUUGGAUCUUCAAGAAGAUGUUCGAGUCGCCUGGAAUAGAUGGAUUACGGGACAGUUUCCUGCUGUCUAGCGGAUUCCGCGUGAAAAACUUUGUGGCGACUUUGGGUGGCUCAUGA
rnacentral:rRNA from 1 species